UUUUUUCAAAAUUCAGAGGGUAAAUUUUGCAGUGAAUAAAUUCGGAGCAACGAUCCACGCUGCCAAGGCAUAACCAAUUGAUUGUGCGUGACUGAGGCCAGAGGCAGACUGUUUCCUACUGGCCUUUUCUCUUCUCUUCUCACAAUCUGGAGAGCUUGUAGUUAAGGAAGAGAUGAGGGUUUUGAUUAGGCUAAUUUUGUUCAAUCAGAUCGGUUCCCUACAGUAUUUCCUGGUUGUUACUAAGCGGGAUUGACUCAGGAUUUCUUGCUUAUGCCUUAACGUCUUGGAUCUUUGCUGCAAAUUUGACAGUUUACAUUUUGACUGUUGAAUUUGAGGGCUUGAAAAUAAGCGCUGAAUAUGUAAAAGGUUAUUUUUUGAAAUUUAAACGUGUUGAAAUGAAUGAAUAUAUACUUAAAAUUUCACCAACUGAAAUUCAGAAUAAAAACAACUCGAGUAAAAAAAAGAUUCAAAGCGAGAAAUUAAACAGCAUUUAAUAUUGAAAAUCUAAUGAAACACAUUAUCUUCCAUACAAGUCCUCUACAUACAUUCCUGUUUUUUGCUCUUAUUUGUACUGUUUGUAUGUGCCGUUAAGAGACGAAAAUGUUCGGUGACAUUUAUCAGAGAUAUAUUCUAUAUUUUAUUUGUAUUUAAAGGUAGAUAUUGAGAAGACAAGCUAAUGAGUGCUGUGACGUUUCCUAUGUUCCAAAAGUACUUACCUAUAUGACUAGUCUGGGGGUAUCUCCUCUGUCUAAUUAAUUAUUGUAUUGUGAGACGAUGAUUACAAAUGUUAAUUAUUAGCUAAAACAAAGUAGGAAUAUAUGCUCAAAGCCAAUGGCCAUAAUGCUGUAAUAUGACUCGUGUGUUUGUAAACGGCUUGUUGUAGUGGAUCCUUGGAGGGACAUUAUUUUUCUAUGCUGAUUUGUAUGUUAAACGUCUGAAUUGUCAGGGGAGGACGGAGAGUGAGAGAGGAGGGAGAUGAAGAGACUAAAGAAAGUGCGGCAGAGACUUGCGCGUCAGGGUUUUGUUUUGAGGGAGACGGGAAGUAGAAGUUGGAUGUAGAAAGAAGGGGGGGGCGGAGCUUUAUUCACUUGAACCUCCAGCGGUCGUAGGCCUGUUUAUAGACGAACAGCCUUAAAUUGGUGGAGUCUAGGCCACUGACAAUGCUAGCAAUACAAUAUGAUGUGUGUGUAUAAGCAGGCAUUGUGACAGAACUCCUAUAGAUAUGAUGAGGCAUAUAUUUAGCUAUAUGAAUAUAUGUGUGUCCAAGCAUUUAUCCUCAAUAUUGUAUGUCUGUCUGAUUGUGCUGGAUGUUUUGUAAUACUUGCAAAACAAAAUGGUCUUUGUAUUUAUU
ensembl:lncRNA